AGCGAACGCUGGCGGCAGGCCUAACACAUGCAAGUCGAACGAAGUCUUCGGACUUAGUGGCGGACGGGUGAGUAACACGUGGGAACGUACCUUUUGGUUCGGAACAACUCAGGGAAACUUGAGCUAAUACCGGAUGAGCCCUUAGGGGGAAAGAUUUAUCGCCGAAAGAGCGGCCCGCGUUAGAUUAGCUAGUUGGUGAGGUAAAGGCUCACCAAGGCUACGAGCUAUAGCUGGUCUGAGAGGAUGAUCAGCCACACUGGGACUGAGACACGGCCCAGACUCCUACGGGAGGCAGCAGUGGUGAAUCUUGCGCAAUGGGCGAAAGCCUGACGCAGCCAUGCCGCGUGAAUGAUGUAGGUCUUAGGAUUGUAAAAUUCUUUUACCAGGGACGAUAAUGACGGUACCUGGAGAAAAAGCCCCGGCUAACUUCGUGCCAGCCGCCGCGGUAAAAC
rnacentral:rRNA from 1 species